rnacentral:rRNA from 1 species
CGGCAACAGCUCAAAUUUGAAAUCUGGCCCCUAGGGUCCGAGUUGUAAUUUGCAGAGGAUGCUUUUGACAAGGUGCCUUCCGAGUUCCCUGGAACGGGACGCCUUAGAGGGUGAGAGCCCCGUACGGUUGAAUGCCUAGCCUCUGUAAAUCUCCUUCGAC